GAUGAACGCUGGCGGCGUGCCUAAUACAUGCAAGUCGAGCGAACAGAUGAGAAGCUUGCUUCUCUGAUGUUAGCGGCGGACGGGUGAGUAACACGUGGGUAACCUACCUAUAAGACUGGGAUAACUCCGGGAAACCGGGGCUAAUACCGGAUAUUAUUUUGAACCGCAUGGUUCGAUAGUGAAAGACGAUUUCGGCUGUCCCUUAUCGAUGGACCCGCGCCGUAUUAGCUAGUUGGUAAGGUAACGGCUUACCAAGGCGACGAUACGUAGCCGGACUGGGAGGGUGACCGGCCAAGCUGGAACUGAGACACGGGCCAGACUCCUACGGGAGGUAGCAGUAGGGAAGCUUCCGCAAUGGGCGAAAGCCUGACGGAGCAACGCCGCGUGAGGGAUGAAGGUCUUCGGAUUGUAAAGUUCUGUUGUAAGGGAAGAAAAAGAAUGAUAGGAAAUGAUGAUUAAUUGACGGUACCUUACCAGAAAGCCACGGCUAACUACGUGCCAGCCGCCGCCGUAA
rnacentral:rRNA from 1 species